CUGCACAAAUGAUGCUCGGCAGCCAGAUCAUCAGACAUCAGGGCCCUGCCUGGCCAUCACCGCAGCGGGAAACUCACAUUAGAAAUUCUGCUCCCCAGAUAAGGCACAGGUAGGCAACUGCAUAGAGGAAAUGAGCUGAAGUCUCAGGAGCACAGGAUAACAUCUGGGGAAAUGUCCUUCACCCAGCACUCACCUUCCCAUCUUGCCAGGCCCACCAGGGUUCCAACACCCAACAACCUGCUCCAGCCCAGGAAGGGCCCAACGCUCAUCCCUUGCCUUCCCUCCACUGCCUCCCUCCACACACACGGCGAUGGAGAGGGGUGUGGGGCUGCCCAGGUGGGAUCACAGUUGUGGCCUGGCCCGGACUUCUCUGUGUUACCUUUGGGUACUUCCUGCCAAAUGGCCAGAGGUGCCAAAAGUGAGUGCUGAGCCAAAAAGCCUGCAGCAAUGGAAAAGGCCCUCGUGCCGGGCUUUCCUGGAGUCAGAGCCUCAGAAAGUCGGGAUACAGCAGGAGAACAUCUUAUUCCCUCUAGUGGCUCCCAUCGAGUGAGCUGGACAGGGGGUCUCUAGAAUGUGAGUGCUGGUUAUCAAAGUUCUAAGUUCUGUUGGGGCCUAUCACCAAGGAAGUUAGGUCACUUCUCUAAGGUUCCAUUACCUCGGCUCCUUCCUUCAAAGAGCUCCCUCCCCAAAGGUCUCUCUGAGCCAUUGACUGCUCACCCUCCUCCUCUAUGUCAUCUCCUUAACUGUUCACAAUUUUGCCAACAUCCCCCCUCUGGGAAAACCCAAAUGCAGCGAGGGCCCUAGGUUUGAGGAGAUACAGCUGGGUUCCAACCCUUCUUUUUCUUACCAGUUCUGUGCCCUGGAAAACUCACUGUACCUCUCAGAGCCUCUCCAGUCCCCUAACCUGCACAAUGCAAAUCAUCCCAGCAUCUGCUUCCCAGAGACAUCAUCAGGCAUACAUGAGAUAAUUCUCAUAACACUCAUAGGUUGGUGUCACAAGUAACAAAUGCACAAACUCAAGAGAAGGAAGAAUUAUAAGGAUAGAUGGGAUGCAGCACGGACUUAAACUGAAGACAUGCCCGGGUUCCAACAGUGUAAUAUUGGAAAAGUUACUUCCACUCUGGGCCUCAUUUCUCAUUCUGCACCAUGAGAGAGUUAACAUAAAAUGAAACUGGUAUAUGGUCAUCCUGUGGCAUAAAGCCUUCCAGUGGUUUCCUGUUAUAUUUAGAAUCAGACCUAGGUGUCUCAUCCCAGCCUAUGUGGUAGUCUGCAUGCAUGCACAGCAGCUUGCAAUGAACCUCACUGCUGGGAUUCAUGCCCUUGUUUAACCAUAAAGUGGUUACUGACUCCCCUUCUGACUAAGAGUAUACAGCAAAGUGACGGGUUGUCUCUCCUGUCUGAGUCAGUUAGGGCUGCUAUAAGAAAGUGCCACAGACAGGGUGGCUCACCAAUAACAGAAAUGUAUUCCUUGCAGUUCUGGAGGCUGGAAGUCUGAAAUCAGGGUAUCAGCAUGGUCCAGUUUUGCCGAGGUCCCUCUUCAGGGUUGCAGACUGCCAGCUUCUUGUUGUGUCCUCAGAUGGUUGAAAAAGGGUGACGGAGCUCCCUGGGGUCCCUUUGAAAAGGGCACUAAUCCCAUUCAUGAGGGCUCCACCUUUAUGAGCUAAUUAUCUCACAAAGUCCCCACCUCCUAAUAUUAUCACAUUGGGAAUUUGGCUAACAACACAUGACUUUUGGGGGACGUAAACAUUCAAUCCAUUGCAACUUCCAAUAUUUAGUUACAAAAAAAGCACCAAUUCCCUCGUACUUGCUGUCUCCUGUGUUUCUCCCUCCCUUUCCUUGUCCUUCUCUGUCCCUCCUCCUCUCGCUGCCUCUGUCACAGUCCUCUAACUGAGGAAGCAAGCUUUCAUGUCAGGAGCUACCCGACAUAGAGGCCCACAUGGCAAAGAACUGGGGAACAUCCAGGCCAACAGACAGAAAGGAACUCAGGCUUAGUCCAAACUGGUUCUGCCAAUACCUACAUGAGUGAGCUUGGGAGCAGCUCUUCCCACAGCCCAGCCUCGGUUGAGACCACAGUCCCAGCUUCAUGGGAGACCUUCAGGCAGAGGCACCCAGAGAGAGAAAAAGCUUGGUUCCAAACCAGGAUAUAUGAAUGGGACCCCUGCUUUCAACUCCCUAGCAGAAUGUCUAGAACCACUGUGUUGGCUUUCAUCUGUUUGUACCUUGAGUCAAUAUAGAGAGGAAGGGAAGUGAGAUGACAGCACCUAGAGGUCUAUCAAGUUGUUGCUCUAAAUUUUGCAAGUGACAAAGCUGCCUAUGGUGGUUGUAAAGUCUGACAGGCUCUUAGAGAAAGGAUGAGGAAUGUAUUGUUCUUGGGCUAUAUUGCUAAGACCAAAAGAACUAUCAGAUAAGAAAAAAAAAAAUGAACUACAGACAUGUUCCUGGACCAUGCUUGCUGUCUCACCCUCAUUCUAAAUGGUGCUUGCUGAUGAGAGAUGAAAAAGAGGAAGGACAGAGAUUCAACUCAACCAAUAGUAUUGGUCCUGCCUGCUUUGUACAGGCAUUUUGGUGUUUGUAUCCAAUGUGACUCUCUCCAAAUAUAUAGGCUCCUCAGGUGUGGACAAAAUGCAUGAAGGGCUUUGGAUGGAGGUUUCACACUGGAAAUAUGUCCAUCUUUCUCUGCCAAGGAUAAGCUACCAACAAAGCUGUCUUCCUUCCCCAUACUUGGGCCUUGAUUUGCACUCCCUUCCCACGAUAACCUCUCUCUUGUCUCUGGACAGGCACAAUGACCUGCCAGCCUUCUGCUUAGUGGCCAGCUUUUACUAAUUUCCCCUUCCAUCUACCUUUCCUACCCUAAAAACCACAUUAAGCAGAGUACCAAGGACCUCUCUACAGCCCUUGAGGAUGGGAAAUUAUGCCUGCCUCUCUUAAAAGAGAUCUAGAUGCUCCUGGCCACUGCCCUUGUUGUCCAAAGAUAUGCUUGGGCAUUUGCAGAGGAAGAAUGCCUUCCAUCUGAGUCCUGUUCAUUUCAAAAACUCUGCUAUUUGGCCCCAGGAUAUAUGCUUUCCUCUAAGGAAAUUUUUAACGUGGGUUCACAGUGGAGCUUUAAGGACUCUAUAUCCUCUCUGAAAUCAUACAUCAAAAUUUGCUUUCAUCUAUUCUGACUUCGCCACAAAAGGGUAAGAACCAUUGUGCCUACGGAGUAACCAGUCUGUUCCAUCUCUGAUAUCUCUUAAUUCUCCUGAAAUCCAAUUAUAUCCAGGGUAUGGGGGUGAAUUCUUGAACUCCCUGGGUCUUGGACCACUUCACAAAGACAAACAAACAAAAAAAACAACGUUCUAAUCUGCCCUUGCUCUGUCAGAUACCCAGGCAAUUCUGAGAACCUCCUGAUGUCUUGGACAAAAAUCUACCUGCAGAACAGACACUUUACCCAAGAACACAUAUGAAGGGCCAAUAAACACAUGAAGAGAUGCUCAACAUCAUUAGUCCUGGGGAAAUGCAAAUUGACACCUCGGUGUGCUAUCCCUAUACAUCCACUGGAAUGGCUAAAAUUAGAAAGACAGGCAAUACCAAGUAUUGGAGAAGAUUUAGAGCAACUGGAAGUCUUACACAUUACCAAGGAGAGAGUAAAAGUGGGAGUACAAAAUGGCACAGCCACAUUAGAAAACAGUUUGACGGUUUCUUAAAACGUUAAGCGUACACCUAUCCCACAACCAGAUGUUCUAUACUUAAGUCUUUAUGCCAAAAAACCACAUCACCACACAAAGACCUGCAUAUGGCUGUUAUUACAGCUUUAUUUAUAACAGCCCAAACUGGAAACAACACAAAUGUGCAUGAAAUGUGAAUGAAUAAACAAAUUGUGAUAAAGCCAUGCAAUGGCUUACUAUUCAGCACUAAAAAGGAACCGACUACCACUAUGUGCAACAACAUGGAUGACUUUCAAAACCAUCAUGCUAAGUGAUGAAGCCAGACACAAAAGAUGACAUCCUGCAUGAUUCCACUUAUAUGAUAUGCUAGAAAAGGCAAACCUAUGAUGACAAAAAUCAGAUCAGUAGCUGCUAGUGGAUAAAGGUAUGGGGAGAGAAUUAACUGUAAAGGGGCACAGGAGAAGUUUUGGAAUUAUGAACUAAUCCCAUAUGUUGAUUGUGGUGGUAGGUACACA
rnacentral:lncRNA from 1 species